ANNNUANCCANNCUAGUAUNAGCAUUAUACAGCGAAACUGCGAAUGGCUCAUUAUAUAAGUUAUCGUUUAUUUGAUAGUACCUUACUACUUGGAUAACCGUGGUAAUUCUAGAGCUAAUACAUGCUAAAAAUCCCGACUUCGGAAGGGAUGUAUUUAUUAGAUUAAAAACCAAUGCCCUUCGGGGCUCCUUGGUGAUUCAUGAUAACUUCUCGAAUCGCAUGGCCUUGUGCCGGCGAUGGUUCAUUCAAAUUUCUUCCCUAUCAACUUUCGAUGUUUGGGUAUUGGCCAAACAUGGUUGCAACGGGUAACGGAGGGUUAGGGCUCGACCCCGGAGAAGGAGCCUGAGAAACGGCUACUACAUCCAAGGAAGGCAGCAGGCGCGCAAAUUACCCAAUCCCGACACGGGGAGGUAGUGACAAUAAAUACUGAUACAGGGCUCUUUAGGGUCUUGUAAUUGGAAUGAGUACAAUUUAAAUCUCUUAACGAGGAACAAUUGGAGGGCAAGUCUGGUGCCAGCAGCCGCGGUAAUUCCAGCUCCAAUAGCGUAUAUUAAAGUUGUUGUGGUUAAAAAGCUCGUAGUUGAACCUUGGGCCUGGCUGGCCGGUCCGCCUCACCGCGUGUACUGGUCCGGCCGGGCCUUUCCCUCUGUGGAACCCCAUGCCCUUCACUGGGUGUGGCGGGGAAACAGGACUUUUACUUUGAAAAAAUUAGAGUGCUCCAGGCAGGCCUAUGCUCGAAUACAUUAGCAUGGAAUAAUAGAAUAGGACGUGUGGUUCUAUUUUGUUGGUUUCUAGGACCGCCGUAAUGAUUAAUAGGGACAGUCGGGGGCAUCAGUAUUCAAUUGUCAGAGGUGAAAUUCUUGGAUUUAUUGAAGACUAACUACUGCGAAAGCAUUUGCCAAGGAUGUUUUCAUUAAUCAGGAACGAAAGUUAGGGGAUCGAAGACGAUCAGAUACCGUCGUAGUCUUAACCAUAAACUAUGCCGACUAGGGAUCGGACGGUGUUAUUUUUUGACCCGUUCGGCACCUUACGAGAAAUCAAAGUGCUGNCUCCACNNGGGGNNGNNNNGNNNNNNGGNUGAANUA
rnacentral:rRNA from 1 species